AGUCGAGCGGAACGAGUUAUCUGAACCUUCGGGGAACGAUAACGGCGUCGAGCGGCGGACGGGUGAGUAAUGCCUGGGAAAUUGCCCUGAUGUGGGGGAUAACCAUUGGAAACGAUGGCUAAUACCGCAUAAUAGCUUCGGCUCAAAGAGGGGGACCUUCGGGCCUCUCGCGUCAGGAUAUGCCCAGGUGGGAUUAGCUAGUUGGUGAGGUAAGGGCUCACCAAGGCGACGAUCCCUAGCUGGUCUGAGAGGAUGAUCAGCCACACUGGAACUGAGACACGGUCCAGACUCCUACGGGAGGCAGCAGUGGGGAAUAUUGCACAAUGGGCGCAAGCCUGAUGCAGCCAUGCCGCGUGUAUGAAGAAGGCCUUCGGGUUGUAAAGUACUUUCAGCAGUGAGGAAGGCGGGUACGUUAAUAGCGUGCUCGUUUGACGUUAGCUGCAGAAGAAGCACCGGCUAACUCCGUGCCAGCAGCCGCGGUAAUACGGAGGGUGCGAGCGUUAAUCGGAAUUACUGGGCGUAAAGCGCAUGCAGGUGGUUUGUUAAGUCAGAUGUGAGAGCCCGGGGCUCAACCUCGGAAUUGCAUUUGAAACUGGCAGACUAGAGUACUGUAGAGGGGGGUAGAAUUUCAGGUGUAGCGGUGAAAUGCGUAGAGAUCUGAAGGAAUACCGGUGGCGAAGGCGGCCCCCUGGACAGAUACUGACACUCAGAUGCGAAAGCGUGGGGGAGCAAACAGGAUUAGAUACCCUGGUAGUCCACGCCGUAAACGAUGUCUACUUGGAGGUUGUGGCCUUGAGCCGUGGCUUUCGGAGCUAACGCGUUAAGU
rnacentral:rRNA from 1 species